UUUGGUUACAGUGUGUUUCUUUGCCUCUCCCUAAGAAGGGAUAGAGGUAAUCCUUUCCCCCCUACAAUGCUCAUCACAUCCUUAAGAUGUGGGUCUCCCCCCCUCAGAUCCCUGUUGAACACUACAAUUAUUUGAACACCAUAGUUUUAGGCUGUCAGUGUAGCCCAUUUUCCAGGUCUUGUGUCGUCUCGAUUUGUAUUACAGGCUUAAGCUUAAUCCACGAUAGCAUAAACGGUGCUAGUUCACUAUCGUUUCUUAGGAUUGAGUAAUUCCAUUGUGAGUAUAUACCACAUUUUAGUUAUCCACUCAUGAAUUGACGGGCACUUGGGUAGUUUCCAUGUCCGUGCAAUAGUGAAUUGUGCUGCUAUAAACAUUCGGGUGCAGAUGUCUUUAUAAUAGAGUGACUUAUGUUCUUUUGGAUAGAUGCCCAACAAUGCUAUUGCUGGGUCAAAUGUAAUUACCCCAGACUUUUAUGGAAAUCUGAUACACAACCAUGUGUUGCCUCAUGUCAAGUGAAGCAGAGAAGGAAGAGACAGCACAGGAAAGGGAAGAACUCCCUGCCCGAUUCCCUUCCUGCUGGGCCCCUUGGAGAAGCAGUGGCACCCUAUCCUCUCUGGAGAGUCUCUGUCCAGCGUGCCAGGCACCGGCCAGCUGCAAACGAGGUCGUGAUCUGCUCCAAGCAGAGCACUAGGAGCACUUCCCAGGGGAGAACUCAGGAGGAAGAUAAUAGAGUUGAUAUUCCUUCAAAAUGGACUUUCUUUCAUGUGCUACGUUUUGAUUUCUGAGAUACAACGAAACCGAAGAGAUAGAAAGUCCCUUCUUUAAAGCUUGUUGUUGUGCAAGGAGAAAGGAAUUGCCUUGCCUACCUUGCCUAACCACCUGAGUUCCAUCACAAAAGGAAAUAACACCCACUAAAGGGUUAAUUUCUAAAACCUGACUGCUCCUUGUGAAGCUGACAGAGAGGAAGGCCGCUUCCCUGGUCUAAUUACCCACUGAAAGCCCGGGUGGGAGUUGAGUCUCGGCAGGAGACUCUAGCCCUACCUGCCUGAAUAGUUAGGCUGCAACGUGCCUGUGCCUCGUUUUUAAUCCUGUACACAGCCCUUUCUUCUGUUCGUUGUUAUUUUCCUUCCUCACCUCUGGACACUUCGGCACAUUCACUUGAAACAUCGUCACAGGAGAACUCGGCUUUGACAGAAACCUCUCUGAAAUGUUUUUUUUUUUUUUUCCCCCCUGUUCUGGCUUGCACUUGAAUAAUUCUCCAUCAACAGCACGUCUGAUUGAGUUGGCAUCACAAACCCUUUUGUAUGCUAUUUUUUUCCUUCAAGAAAUAUUAAAGUCUGAAUAAAAUUGGAAUAGCUGCCUGGUAAUGAUCUCAUUAUAUAUAAAUACAGAAGUGCUCACAGGGGAGAUAAUGACUCCAAGACUCAGGUAUGCAGUGAAUACCUAUUAUCUUCCAAGGAGUCGGCCCACACUCAACACCCCUCCACGGCUCCCCUGAAAACAGCCCUUGCUGUUUAAGGUUCAAGUUGCAGAAAAACGAAUGGCUGAUUGAAGCUGGGAAUAGCAGGGUUUUUUUCCCCUCCCCCUUCAUGACAUAUGUUAGGAGAUGAAAGGAACCUGGGCUGUGUGUUUACUCUUCAUUUGGGAGUUUCACAUGUUCUGAUUGAUCGGAAAGACAAAAAGGCAGAAGGAGAGACAUUUGGUGCUGGCUGAAGACCAUAUCCAUUCUCAAUGUGAAGUUUCCUCGUUUGGUGAGGAUAAUUGUGCUGAGGCAGUUCUGGGGAUAGACGCUACUAAAAGAUUUUUAAAAAUAACAGGCCCACCACCCAGUUUGAGUUCUUAUGCAGCAAAAGAACAAACACAGAUGGCAGCAGUAGGGAUGGGGGGCCGGGGUGGGAAAGGCCCUCCUAACGUGGGAGUUUACUAGUUAUUAGCCCCAGUGAUCUUUUCUGGCAGCCAAGGUGUAAGCAGAUGAAUUUAGCACUUCACAGAGUACCACAUAGAGGGUUUGAUUCCUGAUAUGGGCUAAGGGACCCUGGAAAUAUUUUUACUCCUUGUGAUUAGCAUCGAAAAAGAGAAUUGGGUGGAGAAGAGGGUAGAUUGCUUUAAAUGUCCCUGUUGGGUUCUAAAGGGCGUUUGUCUAAAGGGGAAUUGCUAUCUGCCACCUUAGACCAGAGAGAGGUGGAGUGGAGGAUGAGUACUUGGCUGUUUCUAUUUGCAUCUAUAGGCUUAUUAUUCCCUUCUGAUUUCCAUAUUAGAGACUCUCAAAAUAUAAAAUAACAUUAUAAGCAUAAUUCUCUGGCAAAGGGAAGGGCUGGAUGGCACACAUAUUUUGCCCAUAGCUAAAAGUUUCAUGCAAUAAACGUGGUAUGCUGUUGAGCAAUGACAAUACAUUCCUGUUAACUGAGAGAGAGUUAUACUCAUAAAACCUAAAGGAGGGUUAGUCAGAAUAGACAAGGGCUGACAUGACCUCUGGUAUCAGGUGAGACCAUAUCCGUUGUGGGGAUAAUCAGGGAAUCAGAACAAAUGUCAUUGGCCACAAUCAAAUUCAUGCUGUACACAUGCUGCUCAACACACACUGUGUUUCCUUCCUUUAUUAAGCAUUGGCAUUUGUAACGCCUUAGCCCCAGGGAAAGAAUCUUCUCUCUCUCCUUCCAGUGCCACAGGGACCAUUGGGAUCUGGGAGAAUGUUUCCCUCACUGGUGCUCCUCCUUGGGCGAUGACAAUUAAACAUGGAUUCUAUUGUUUUCAGAAACUGAGUGUUGGAACCCACCUUCUCGUAUUUUCCCCCAUUGCUUAUGGAGGUAUCUAAGGGAGAUUCCCGGUGCAGCAAUUCCAUGUCCCCCCACUGCCCGGUGUAUCGGGAUGGAUGCCUCCAUCUUCAUGCUAGUCAUAGCAAUACUCUAUUACUCUUGGAGGUCUAAUGUGUUCCAGGCUGUGUGCUCCAUGCCUCACACACUACCUCAUCUGACCCUCACAAUGCUGUGAGGUGGCUGCUUCCAUGCCAUCUCAGAGAGUGACUUGAUGUCCAGUGGCGAAUCACUGGUUUGUGGCUACAAAUAUCUGGAAGGCUAUGGAGGCGGGAGAGAGGACAUGGCUUGCAUAGAAGUCUCUGAAUGAAUGAGUCCAUUGUUUCCUUAAUACCUUUGCAUUUAUUUAACUAAUUUUAAUGGCAACUUCAGUAUUCAGCCUCUGCUGUGUGGAAUACCACAUAAAUAUGAGGCACAAUCCCUGCCUACAACGCUCCUAUAAUCUGGUAAGUAGAUAGGAGUAGAACAAGAAAAUACCACUCUGUGGAACAAAGGUGAGAUUGACUUCUCAUCUGCUAUUAGCUAGGCUUUCUGGGUCUAAGCUGCUUUUUUUUUAAAAAAAGAAACUAGGUGAUUGGACUAGAUCAGAGGUUAGUAAGGUUUUUCUGUAAAGGGCCAGAGAGUAACUAUUUUAGGCUUUGCAGGCCAUAUGGUCUCUGUCACAACUGCUUAACUCUGCUAUUGUAGCAUGAAUGCAGACAAAUACUAUGUAACAAAUGGGCAUGACUGUGUUCAAAUAAAACUUGGUUUACCAAAAUAGUUGUAGAUAAAAAUCAGGUGGGCUGCAUUUAGCCCAGGAUGACCCUUGGAUCUGAUGGUACCUAUAGGACUUUCUGGCUAGAAAAUGCUAUAGUUUCUCCACAGUCCACAGGACAUUUCUUUGGCUUUUCUGUUCUUGAGAAGGAGUAUAUAAAAAAUGUCAAUGGAAGUGGUCCUGGAGAGGCACCAGGAGGGAUUCCCAGCAAUGUUCUGAUUGAAAUCGCAAUGGGAGAAAGCCAUUAAAAAAGGUGGGGGGAAGGUCCCAUUAAUCAGAGCUGGGCACUGCUGUUUUAGUUGGAGGUCUGGCUAUUAGCUCAGCAGGAAGACAAGGAAGACAAGAUGGGGCAGGCUGGAAACAUGGAUUUCCCAGAGGCAGAAUGCUGAAAAUUCUUUUCAGAACAAAGUUUUUAUGUAAUUUCUUAUGUAAGUCUUAGAAUCCAAGGCAUUGUCGUUGGUGCAAUUUCGCUUAUAUUAGUAAACGCAAUCUAACAUCCUCAUCAUAAUCUAACACAAUCUAAACAAAGAUUUGAUUUUUUGUUGAAUAUCUAUUCCAUUUGAAAACUUUUUCAUGUAUUAUUUCCCUAUAUUGGAAUAACUGGAUUUUCCAAGACAUUAGAAUAAAUGCACAAUUGUAGGACUCUUCCUGUGGCAAGUGACACCAAAAUCUUGCUCAAAUGAACUUAACAAAGGUAAUAUAUGGGCUUGGAAUACAGAACAGUCCAAGGGAAUACCAGCUUCAGCUGGAGGAGGGUCUGAUCUAGAAUAUGAGGUCAUCAGGGCUUCGUUUUUUUUGUCUCUUUCAUUUCUGCCGUUUUUGUUGGCUGAGCUUUAUUUUCAGGCUGACGUCUCCCUUGGUGGAAGGAUGCUAUCGCAAGACUCGACUUCUUAUAUGACCAAAUACAGCUGAGGAGCAAGAGCUCCUUUUUCUCCAAAGCCCCAGCGUAGUCUCCUCACAUCUCCUUGGCUCUGACUGGGUGGUGUGGCCAUCCCUAAACCAAUGUCUGUGGCCUCAGCCGAGUUGGGCCCACUGCAUGGCUAAGAAUGGUGGAAGAGAGGUUCCCCAAAGCAGGGUUGAAUUGCAUUUGCCAGAAAGAAGCAGGUAGUUGUGGAGUAACAAACAGCAGAUGUCCAGUUCAAUGAUCCUUUGUAAUUUUUAAAACACUUUUGUCAAAACUAACUCAUUUAAUUUUACAAUUUUAAGGCAAUAUGUCAGUUGUUAUUAUUUCCAUUUUUUGAUGAGAACACUAAGGCUCAAAUCACACAACUUGUUCAAAUUUGCAAAGUUGGUGAAAAAGAUUCUAUUAACUUUUUUCUCUUAGUGAUGUAAUAUUAAUUUCUGACCACUAUACUACCUCUCCUGUUUUGGGCUGGGUUGUCUAUUAAUGUCACCUAAUAUUGCAUUAGCAUUUUGGGCAGCCAUAUCACACUGGCUUCUACUGAUUUUAUAGCCAGUAAGAGCCCUUCUGGUUUUUCAUAUGAUUUCUGGUAAAACAUAAUAUAUCUAAAAUGGUAUUUUGAACUUAAGUGCAGG
ensembl:lincRNA